rnacentral:lncRNA from 1 species
AAAAGCACCAAAAACUUAGUGCUUGUAAUUUUUUCACUAUUGAAUUUAUUUUUUUAAUUAUUUUUAUCCAUUAAAUUAUACUAUUCAAUCAAUCGCCCACUCAACUAAACCGCUAUCAUCCUAAUCUCACACCUCUUAAUCCAAAGGUUACAAAUCUACCAGCACCAAUGAUUUUGUACUUUUAAAAAUAUAGAAAUUCAAUUCUGUUCUUUGAGAUUAUUUUAUUCACAGAUCAAAAAAUGGUAAAAUUUAUGAUUUUAAUGAU